AGCAAAUGCAAUACGUGCCGGGGCUGUGUUUCAGAACUUGUGCAAAUUCCUGAUGUUGCAACAAGUACUCACACACACCGUCUUAUCAAAGGUGGAGACUGGAGCCUAUAGAAAUACUGCAUCUUCAUUUAUCUGGUGAUUGUAAAUACUGGAGAGACAGUAUGGUGCCUGGAUCAACGAACAACGACGGUCUUAAGAGACAGACACCAGAGAAUGGCAUCACCUCUAUCAUGCAUCCAGUUACUCCAAAGUCCAGGUCACUCUUAGG